UAUAGAUGAUGAAAAUUGAGACUUGGACCUAGAACGGAAAGAAAUCGAUUUAUGGACGAGUAUGUCCUUUUCACAUUUGUGGUAUCGAGAGUUCCAGGUUAGCUCGGGUUGGAGGCCGUCGGAGAUAUUAUCACCCUAUCGAGUUAACGUUAUCGGAGUAAGUAAACUCAAGUGAUUCGAGUCUAUGGCAUGUAUAGGGUUUUAAUGUGAGUAUGUAAUAUUAUGAUUUAGCCAAAGGCAUUGGCUUGUUAUUAAGGUAGUAUUAGUCAUGUAAAUUGGCCUAUGUCGGCUAAUGACGUUAUGGGCCCAUAUGAUUAUUCUUAUGCAUUUAUGUUAUUAUUUCUUGUGAUGUGGCUUACAACAUGUAUGCCUAGAGAUUGAAUUGAGAUUCAUUGAUGAGCUAGUAACUAAUGCAGGAUUAAGUGAUUGGUAAAUAGUUAAUAA